rnacentral:rRNA from 1 species
UAUCCAGACUCCUACGGGAGGCAGCAGUGGGGGAUAUUGGACAAUGGGGGAAACCCUGAUCCAGCGACGCCGCGUGAGUGAAGAAGUAUUUCGGUAUGUAAAGCUCUGUCAGCAGGGAAGAAAGAAAUGACGGUACCUGACCAAGAAGCCCCGGCUAACUACGUGCCAGCAGCCGCGGUAAUACGGAGGAUGCGAGCGUUAUCCGGAUCUAUUGGGUUUAAAGGGUGCGCAGGCGGAGGUGCAAGUCAGUGGUCAAAUUGCGGGGCUCAACCCCGUACUGCCGUUGAAACUGCAUCCCUUGAGUGCGCGAGAAGUAUGCGGAAUGCGUGGUGUAGCGGUGAAAUGCAUAGAUAUCACGCAGAACUCCGAUUGCGAAGGCAGCAUACCGGCGCUCAACUGACGCUCAUGCACGAAAGUGUGGGGAUCGAACAGGAUUAGAUACCCCCGUACUA